AGUCACUUCUGUCCUGUCUUUAACCUCCUUCAGUAGUAAAGGCUUCUUGUGUGUGGUAUCUACAACACUUGGGUAGCUUCAAACAACAUAUUUUGAAGAAGUCAUUUAAGGCAAAUCAGAUAAGAUGCUCAAAAACUUCCCAUUUGUCUCUUCUGUUUACAAGGAAAAUUCAAGUGCCACUCCUCUUAGACAUUGUGGUGAGCGAGCAUUGGAUUCAUAAGAAGAAAAUGUCAACAUUUCUUUAAAGAUGGUGAGACUUUUCUGUUUAAAUCUUCGUUCACCUGCCCUAUUAGCAAUUAGUAGACAAGUUUGGAAUA